AUUGAGCAAUUAUUCAUUUACCACAGGGAAACAGGAAAAGAGUCUCAAGAGACCGAUCUAGGAUCAAACUAGAUAGGCACACCAAAUCAAGACUUGUCCCGGUGAGAAUAUAACUCAAUGGGGAAACCCAUCCCAAUAUAUGUGUCGGGAAGGAACAAAAACAAUCGACAUCCACGAGGAUAUAACCCGAUGGGGAAUAUGGAAGAAAGG
rnacentral:lncRNA from 1 species